GUUGCAUGUCAAUGUAUAACAAUAACAAAAUACACCCCAAAAGUUAUUUGAGGACGCUAAAAAUGUGAUUGUGUGGAACAAGCUGAAAGACAAAUAUUUAACGCAAAAUGUAAAAUAACCGCGAUUGGCUGGCAGCCAUCGCAGGGUACAUAUAGACCUGCUCACGAUUACACCAAGGGGCAAUUUAGAGCACUGUGUCAAACUCAAAGCCCAGGGGCCAAAUCUGGCCCGCCAUGUCAUUUUACGUGGCCAGUGAAAUUGGAAUUGAACCCUGGACCUCUGAACCGUGAGGCAAAUGUGCUAACCCGUUUGACGACCUUGUGUAUGUUAAAAAAAAAAAAAAAGAUUCUGAACUGUUCCUGAUGACAUGAACUGAAAACAUUGCAUUUU